rnacentral:rRNA from 1 species
CAGUCGCCACGGGAACACGUAGGGUGCGAGCGUUAAUCGGAAUUACUGGGCGUAAAGGGCUCGCAGGCGGUUUCUUAAGUCUGAUGUGAAAGCCCCCGGCUCAACCGGGGAGGGUCAUUGGAAACUGGGAAACUUGAGUGCAGAAGAGGAGAGUGGAAUUCCACGUGUAGCGGUGAAAUGCGUAGAGAUGUGGAGGAACACCAGUGGCGAAGGCGACUCUCUGGUCUGUAACUGACGCUGAGGAGCGAAAGCGUGGGGAGCGAACAGGAUUAGAUACCCCAGUAGUCCCUGUCUCUUAUAC